UACAGAGGUCUCAAGCGUUGUUCGGAAUCACUGGGCGUAAAGGGUGUGUAGGCGGUGUGUUAAGUCAGAUGUGAAAGCCCGGGGCCCAACCUCGGAACUGCAUCCGAUACUGGCAUGCUAGAGAAUUGGAGAGGAGUCUAGAAUUCACGGUGUAGCAGUGAAAUGCGUAGAUAUCGUGAGGAAUACCAAGUGCGAAGGCAGGACUCUGGACAUUUUCUGACGCUGAGACACGAAGGCCAGGGGAGCAAACGGG
rnacentral:rRNA from 1 species